rnacentral:rRNA from 1 species
UACGGAGGGUGCGAGCGUUGUCCGGAAUCACUGGGCGUAAAGGGCGCGUAGGUGGCUUGGCAAGCGUGUGGUGAAAGCCCGGGGCUCAACCCCGGGUCUGCCGUGCGAACUGCUAUGGCUUGAGCACUGUAGAGGCAGGUAGAAUUCCCGGUGUAGUGGUGAAAUGCGUAGAUAUCGGGAGGAACACCAGUGGCGAAGGCGACUUCCUGGCCUGUUCUUGACGCUGAGGCGCGAAAGCUAGGGUAGCAAACGGG